CAGUCGCCGCGGUAAUACGGAGGGGGCUAGCGUUGUUCGGAAUUACUGGGCGUAAAGCGCACGUAGGCGGCUUUGUAAGUUAGAGGUGAAAGCCUGGAGCUCAACUCCAGAAUUGCCUUUAAGACUGCACCGCUUGAACACGGGAGAGGUGAGUGGAAUUCCGAGUGUAGAGGUGAAAUUCGUAGAUAUUCGGAAGAACACCAGUGGCGAAGGCGGCUCACUGGCCCGUUGUCGACGCUGAGGUGCGAAAGCGUGGGGAGCAAACAGGAUUAGAUACCCGUGAGUCCCUGUCUCUUAUACA
rnacentral:rRNA from 1 species